AGAGUUCGAUCCUGGCUCAAGACGAACGCUGGCGGCGCGCCUAACACAUGCAAGUCGAACGGAGCUGAGAGGAGCUUGCUUUUCUUAGCUUAGUGGCGAACGGGUGAGUAACGCGUGAGUAACCUGCCCUGGAGUGGGGGACAACAGUUGGAAACGACUGCUAAUACCGCAUAAGCCCACGGUACCGCAUGGUACUGAGGGAAAAGGAUUUAUUCGCUCUAGGAUGGACUCGCGUCCAAUUAGCUAGUUGGUGAGGUAACGGCCCACCAAGGCGACGAUUGGUAGCCGGACUGAGAGGUUGAACGGCCACAUUGGGACUGAGACACGGCCCAGACUCCUACGGGAGGCAGCUGUGGGGGAUAUUGCACAAUGGGGGAAACCCUGAUGCAGCGACGCCGCGUGGAGGAAGAAGGUUUUCGGAUUGUAAACUCCUGUCGUUAGGGACGAUAAUGACGGUACCUAACAAGAAAGCACCGGUUAACUACGUGCCAGCAGCCGCGGUAAAACGUAGGGUGCAAGCGUUGUCCGGAAUUACUGGGUGUAAAGGGAGCGCAGGCGGACCGGCAAGUUGGAAGUGAAAUCCAUGGGCUCAACCCGUGAAUUGCUUUCAAAACUGCUGGCCUUGAGUAGUGCAGAGGUAGGUGGAAUUCCCGGUGUAGCGGUGGAAUGCGUAGAUAUCGGGAGGAACACCAGUGGCGAAGGCGACCUACUGGGCACCAACUGACGCUGAGGCUCGAAAGCAUGGGUAGCAAACAGGAUUAGAUACCCUGGUAGUCCAUGCCGUAAACGAGGAUUACUAGGUGUUGGGGGAUUGACCCCCUCCGUGCCGGCAGUUAACACAAUAAGUAAUCCACCUGGGGAGUACGACCGCAAGGUUGAAACUCAAAGGAAUUGACGGGGGCCCGCACAAGCAGUGGAGUAUGUGGUUUAAUUCGAAGCAACGCGAAGAACCUUACCAGGUCUUGACAUCCGAUGCAUAGUGCAGAGAUGCAUGAAGUCCUUCGGGACAUCGAGACAGGUGGUGCAUGGUUGUCGUCAGCUCGUGUCGUGAGAUGUUGGGUUAAGUCCCGCAACGAGCGCAACCCUUAUUGCCAGUUACUACGCAAGAGGACUCUGGCGAGACUGCCGUUGACAAAACGGAGGAAGGUGGGGAUGACGUCAAAUCAUCAUGCCCUUUAUGACCUGGGCUACACACGUACUACAAUGGCGUUUAACAAAGAGAAGCAAGACCGCGAGGUGGAGCAAAACUCAGAAACAACGUCUCAGUUCAGAUUGCAGGCUGCAACUCGCCUGCAUGAAGUCGGAAUUGCUAGUAAUCGCGGAUCAGCAUGCCGCGGUGAAUA
rnacentral:rRNA from 1 species